AAAUCACUUUCUAAAAUAUGGUACAUGAAAGCUACUUACCAUGAACUUUCUUUUCAUUUAUCAAAGUCAUGUCCUUUUCUAGACAUAAGCAGCUGGCAGUAUUGUUUCCCCAGGGGCAUACAAGCAGAACACCAUCUGAAGCCAGAUGAAAAAUAAAGGCAACUGAUAAGUUGGUUUCACAAUGGACUGUACCACCAUCCAGGGACAUGGUCACAUUUAAUUUCUCAAAGCUGAAGGAAAUAUGAUGAUCAGGAUAUGAAGAAGAAAACAAUAAAAAAAUCAUGUCUAGCAAGGACAGAGGUCACCUCCAAUGGAGACACUUCAGGAAUUGCUCGGGAAAGAACAUCAAGUGGUCAAACAGGAGGAGAUAUGUGGUUCAAGCUACAGAAACAGCAACAGGCUGAGCAGCCAACAUAAGGAGGUUAAGGGCGGGAAAAACAUGAGAAACUCUUUUGAGAAGCUGCAAAAGCUGACGUGGAGGAUCAAGGAUUUCAAAAGCUUUGAAUAUAAAGAGGUGAGAAUUUUUAUUUUAUUUUUUUACUAUUAUUCUGGUCUGUUGGUUGAGCUCUGAG
ensembl:lincRNA